rnacentral:rRNA from 1 species
CCUACGGGCGGCUGCAGUGGGGAAUCUUGCACAAUGGGGGAAACCCUGAUGCAGCGACGCCGCGUGAGCGAUGAAGCCCUUCGGGGUGUAAAGCUCUUUCGGCAGGGACGAUAAUGACGGUACCUGCAGAAGCAGCUGCGGCUAACUACGUGCCAGCAGCCGCGGUAAUACGUAGGCAGCAAGCGUUGUUCGGAGUUACUGGGCGUAAAGGGUGUGUAGGCGGUUGCUUAAGUUUGGUGUGAAAUCUCCCGGCUCAACCGGGAGGGUGCGCCGAAUACUGAGUGACUCGAGUGCGGGAGAGGAGAGUGGAAUUCCUGGUGUAGCGGUGAAAUGCGUAGAUAUCAGGAGGAACACCGGUGGUGUAGACGGCUCUCUGGACCGUAACUGACGCUGAGACACGAAAGCGUGGGUAGCAAACAGGAUUAGAUACCCGGGUAGUCCG